rnacentral:rRNA from 1 species
GCGCCUAACACAUGCAAGUCGAACGGAGCACCCUUGAUCAAGAUUUCGGUCGAGUGAGAGGAAUCGCUUAGUGGCGGACGGGUGAGUAACACGUGAGGAACCUGCCUUUCAGAGGGGGAUAACAGUUGGAAACGACUGCUAAUACCGCAUGACAUAUCCGGAUGACAUCGUCUGGGUAUCAAAGAUUUAUCGCUGAAAGAUGGCCUCGCGUCCGAUUAGAUAGUUGGCGGGGUAACGGCCCACCAAGUCGACGAUCGGUAGCCGGACUGAGAGGUUGAACGGCCACAUUGGGACUGAGACACGGCCCAGACUCCUACGGGAGGCAGCAGUGGGGGAUAUUGCACAAUGGAGGAAACUCUGAUGCAGCGACGCCGCGUGUAGGAAGACGGUCCUCUGGAUUGUAAACUACUGUCUUCGGGGACGAAAAUGACGGUACCCGAGGAGGAAGCCACGGCUAACUACGUGCCAGCAGCCGCGGUAAUACGUAGGUGGCGAGCGUUGUCCGGAAUUACUGGGUGUAAAGGGAGCGUAGGCGGGUAAACAAGUUGGACGUUAAAUCUACAGGCUCAACCUGUAUCAGCGUUCAAAACUGUAUAUCUUGAGUUAAGUAGAGGCAGGCGGAAUUCCUAGUGUAGCGGUGAAAUGCGUAGAUAUUAGGAGGAACACCAGUGGCGAAGGCGGCCUGCUGGGCUUUUACUGACGCUGAGGCUCGAAAGUGUGGGGAGCAAACAGGAUGAGAUACCCUGGUAGUCCACACUGUAAACGAUGAUCUCUAGCGUGUGGGGGGACUGACCCCUUCCGUGCCGGAGUUAACACAAUAAGUGAUCCACCUGGGGAGUCCGGCCGCAAGGUUGUAACUCAAAGGAAUUGACGGGGGCCCGCUCAAGCAGUGGAGUAUGUGGUUUAAUUCGAUGCAACGCGAAGAACCUUAUCAGGUCUUGACAUCUCCUGAGUAGCGUAGAGACACGUGAUGUCCUUCGUGACAGGAAGACAGGUGGUGCAUGGUUGUCGUCAGUUCGUGUGGUGAGAUGUUGGGUUUUGUCCCGCUCCGAGCGCAACCCUUGUCUUUAGUUGCUACGCAAGAGCACUAUAAUGAGACUGCCGUGGACACCUCGGAGGAAGGUGGGGAUGACGUCAAAUCAUCAUGCCCCUUAUGAUCUGGGCUACACACGUCCUACAAUGGCAAUCGAACAGAGGGAAGCAACACAGCGAUGUGACGCAAACCCCAAAAAAU